ensembl:lncRNA
CUUGGGUUGGAAGGGACCUCAAGGAUCAUCAAACUCCAACCCCCCUGCCAUAGGCAGGGCUACCAACCUCCACACUUGAUUGUAGAAUACUUUAAUAUUUAAACAUUUAAUUAAAUUAACAUUUAAUACUAGAAUACUUUAAUCCCAGCUCUACUGGGGAGAAACAUUUCCAUAAACACCCCCAGAAACAGAACAACCUCAACUUGUCAAAUAACAGCUGUGGUACCCAACACAUGGAUAACUACUGUGUUAAAUCCAGAUAUAACACAACGAGGAUCUGGGGAAAUUAAGGAUUUCUAGUAGUAGAUUUCUUUAAUUCUUGGGAGACGCAGCAUUUGCAGCCUUCUGCUCCCAGCAUCUGUGAAACAGACCAAGGAACAGAGCAGAACAAGUGUUGGCCAUAUCUCUGAGAUUAAAGACCAUUGUAUGGGAGUUGCUAAGCCACGGCCUGAAGUGGUGAUUGAGCACCUGGUGAAGGGAUGCAGCCAGCCCUGGGAGCACAGGUGGAAGCAAUUCAACCUCGUGACUGGAAGGGGUGGACCCUGUCUCCAUCCCCUCCUAACCUCAUUUAAGGGCUGGCAGCCACAAGGAAAGGGUGCUUCUGUGGAGAUCCCUCCUUUUGGAGUGUUUAGUGAGCCCUGAUCAUUGGAUGGGUGACCACAAGUCUUCUGCAAGUGCUGAAAAGCAGUUUGCUGCCCCUGCAUCACCAGCUGUGCAGACACGUUUAGUACCUGUGCUCGACGGACGGUGAGCAGCCACCUUGUGCUGAGUGGUACCUGGGGGGGAGACUGAGCAUGCAGCCUCUGCUAGGUGCCAUGCAUGCCUUAUUCUGAUGUAUACAAAGGCUGAUGGGAUCCGGCCCAAAGGUGUAGGUGGGAGAAUCAUUACAAGAUGAUGUGCUGGGCUCUGCUUUAGAAGCUGGGAUUUAUGUUGGAGCUCUUCCUUCUGACCUGGAGCUGCCUUGCAAGCUGCCAUUGCUCUGACUUUCUCAAUGGAACCUCAUGGGUGGUGAAGUGAGUUGAGAAAAUCCAAACCAAAACUGCUUAAAGGUAAAAAGUCAUCUGGGAACGUUGGUCAGCUGCUGAUAGUAAUUAAAUUCCAGGCUUUUUUAAUCUGAAAAUUGUAGCAAUGUAACUUUAACUUUUCAUAAGCUACGCUCUACAUGCACAUUCAUAAGCCAGUUCCCUUAAGCUCAGCUGAGAUCUCUGUAUUUUACAAGUUAUUAUGGGCAACAGAUUAAUAUUAAAAUUAAUACUGGAAGUAUUAGAAUUGUUUUUUCCUCUCUUCUGAGAAAUAAGAACACCUCUGGUUCUCCUCAUGCACGGAGGAGAACAUGUGUAAAUUCAAACACUUCAGCUGUGUGAUUGAUGUGUUUUAUCUUGGAGCUCUGUGAUCUUCUGUCUUGUCACCAUCUGCACGAAGGUUUCUUUGCAGCUGCCUGGUUUCCUUCAUCCCUGUGGGCUCUGCUGGGGGUGGUUGGAUCCCCUGCCUGGGGUCUGAGGUAUAGGGUGUGGGCAGGUGGCCGUGAGACUGCAGGUAGAGUCCAGGCAUGGGAUGCUCUCAGCAGUUUUCCUGCAAAAGAAGAUGAAUCAUGGAAUCAUAGAAUGGCCUGGGAUGAAAAGGACCACAAGGACCAUCUAGUUUCCACCUCCCUGCUAUGUGCAGAGUCACCAACCACCAGACCAGGCUGCCCGGAGCCACAUCCAGCCUGGGAAGAUGAAUGUGAAGAUGGAGAUGUCCUGAAGGAGGCUUCCAAAAGUCUCAGAGAGAACACACUGGUAUCUGAUGAGGCAGUGCAGGAAUUGUUACCCAGAUGAGGCCCGUUCUUGGCUCAACAUUGUUUGAGAUGCCUCUUCUGCCCUGCCUCGUGUUGGAAGAACUCCUCAUAUCUGUGCCUGCCUCUUCUCCAUGGUGGUUUUAACACCAGGACUGCCACACCACUCUGGCUGAGGCAACAAGGAAGGCCACAACCUAACUGUAUUUUAAAUAACCACGUAAUGCUUCAGUAUCUCAACUACUUCUUGUGAAGCAGCUUCUAUCAUAUCUGAAAGAUGAGUUAUAAUUUGGAGAUUGGCCUUGGUGAUCUCCAGAGGUCCCUUUCAACCCUUAUGGUUCUGUGGUUAUCAGUCGUGGGUAAGCAGAACUGGCAGCUGAAUGAGGUACUGGGGCUUAAACGAUGCACUGAGCUUGGGAAUGGUCUGAGGGCUGGCACACCUCUACAGCAGUGCUUUCUAUUUGUGUUCUUCAAGCACGUUUUUGCUGGAGAACACACAGGGCCACACAGUGAUGGAUGGGGUGUGCUGUCAUUUUGAGUCACCGGCAUUUUGGGAUGGAAUAGGAAAGCUCUUUAAAAGCAGCCAGUGUCACAUUUGCAGCUUCAUUUUCAUGGGCGAAUAUUGCUUUGAGACUAAUGUAAGCUCUGUGUAUUAUUUGGUACUGAAAGUGUGCUAUGGAAUUUCAUUUCAAAGUACUCUCAGGGUCAUUUAUGCGCAUAUAAUGGGUGGAUAAGUCAAACAAAGAGCCCUUCUCUGCCACUCUGGGCACCAGGUCACGCUGAGGCAUCCAUGCUGGGAGCCAGAAUAGAGACCAGCACAAGUUUGUUGCUUCACUAUCCUGCUUUCUGCCCCCAAUACCCAUCUGCUCAGCUCUGCUUCUGCAGAGCAUGGAGGCAGUGGCUGAGGUUUGUGAUACUGAGGAGGAGGGGAAGGUGGUGCAGUCAAUGGUGAGGGCUGAUGUGUUCUGGGGGCAGCUGGUAGGAAGCUGGCAUCAGUGUGCUCUGUGAGCCCACCCUGAGCUGGCAUUCCAUUGAGAGCCUUUUUAGAGGCUGUGUGUUGUUUUGUCUAAUAGAAAACAAGCUUUGCAAAUGAGCUGCUGAGCACUUUAGCAGGGAGUAUUUUUUUUUUUGCAUGUUUGCAAUAUUCAGUUCAGGCAUUGACAGCUGUGAACUUCACAAUGAGACUGACACUUGAGAUCUGUGUAAAGGUCAAUUUUUUAAUUGUGCCUUAUAGAUAAAAGAAAUAUCUACAUCGAUAUAGUCUAAUCGCAUUGAUUUCAGCACGGAGUUUUCAAUUAUUAUUCAGAAUUCUCUGUUAUCUCGUUGCAGUCCCACAGCCUUAGCAGGCAGUGCAAUGCUCCAUGAGAUAACCUUUAACUCAUGCUGCUGGGUCAAAAGUGAGUUGUGAUGAGUACUCCCUGCCCUUCCACAGUGAACUGUCUGGGUAAGGAAGGCAUCUGUUGCUGCAGUGCAGAUCAUGAUGCACUGAGGAUGCCUUCAGUUCUGAUACGGUAUAUUGGCUGUUUGCAGGUCUGCUGGUGUACAAAUAAGCCAAGAUCUCUUCCAUGCAGGAAGCUGCACUGCAGGGCAGUGGGAGGAAUGACUGUGAUUAUCCCAUUACAAAGAGAAGGAUGUCUUAACAUUGGAAUCAUUGCUCGUGUUUUAGAGUGACCUUGUAAAGUAUGGUUCAUCACAGGGGGAUCGAUACUAAAUAAUAAUGCUUCUGCUUAGUUCCAGUAAAUACCUUGGGUUUAUCUAGGAGGUAUCACUCAGCUGUUUCCAACAGCUUCUAUGUGAUCUGCUGAAGCCAAAACACAUCUGCUUCUAAUAGGUGUGCCUGUAGGACUCUGCUGUUAGUGGUGUUCAGGGUAGCCAGAGGUACUCCCUGUUGUCUCAGUAGGAAACCUUUCAGUGUAUGAAGGACAAUGUUUCCAUGAAAAUAUCAAUACAAUGGUGGGCACACCUCCAUUGACAGUUCACAGCCCAGUAUUUCCUCCGGGCUGUUGGAGUGUGGUAUAAUGUCAAAGGUCUGCCUGUCCCUUGCUGGACAUGGGAUGGAGGUGCUUGGGGCUGCUAUGGGCUGGGCAGCCCAACAUCAUGUAUGUAUAUAUGGCCAGGCAGGAUGUGGCUCUGGGCAGCCUGGUCUGGUGGUUGGUGACCCUGCACGUAGCAGGGGGUUGGAACUGGAUGAUCUUUGAGAUCUUUUUCAACCCAGGCCAUUCUAUAAUUCAUUCUUUGAUUCUGUAUAAACAUUAAUACAUACACGUGUAUAAAAUAUUAUCACUCUGCAGCUGCAUUUGACUAUCAUCACAGAGCUUGCAUGCAUUCUAAUAAAUUCAUCAAAGGAAAAGAUCAGGCAGGUGCCAAGUGCUGCAAAAUGACCUGGACAAAGAAUGCAGAGGGUUUAGGAGUGCUUUGCAUAAAUAGGAGAAUUAUGUGCUUCGUGGAGCAAGCAGUGUUCAGGUUUAAAGACACAGAUGUGUGACAGGCAUUCAGACAGUAAAUUCUGCACCUCCAGUGAUUCUGUGAUAGAAAUGUGUGCCUAUACCUCUGUAUAAUCUGCAACAAUCGAUAAAAUCAAGCAGGUUUUUUAUGAAAACAGUUUUAUUGGAAACUUUUUUAACAGUUUAAGACUCUCUCUUGUAAGUAACUGUCCCUGGACUACUGAGGUGGGUGGAGGGCUCCAUCCCCUCCUGGCAGCCCAGGGCUGAGCCCAUAUCCCUUUCAGGACCUGGCUGCAGCACCUGCUCGCUGUUUGGCAGCCUGACAUGCUUUCUGGUUUGUCCCUUUGGAUAGUGAUACGCUGAUUCAAGCUGUACAGGAGAAACCAACAACUCAACUCUGUAUUGUGAUGAGACUCUCAGUGCUGUAUGGGCAGAAUGGGGAAGCAUUCAAGCGCGUUUCCUUUCUCAGCACGUGGGAUACAGGAGGGCAGCAAAGCGUCAGCUGUGAUGAACCACUCAUGUAUCCUUCUUGUAUCUGCAGAAAUGAAGCUGCUGUUUCUAAUAAAUCCUACUUGAAAAGAUGGCACUGUUAUGAAAGAACGGAGAGAGAGACCUGAGGCUUUACCUUCGUGCUGCUCCAGCCCCAAGGAGUUCAAGUAUUUUGAAUACUUAAGUUUGAGAAGACGUGGGAACUGACGACUUCUGUCCUUCGAGGAGAUGGCAUGAAUUACUGCAAUUGGAAAAUAAUUAAGAAGCAAUUACAGAAACAAACAGAAAUCCUGUGCGUACAGCCAGGCCAUUAAAAUAUGUUCUCUAAGAAAUUACCACAGCCACGCUGGAAAGAAAAGCGACAUUUAAAUAAAGUUAUGGUUAUAACAAACUAAAAAGGAAGAAAAAACCAAAGCAAUUCGUGCUGGAAAGAGUAAGUACUCAUCUGCCCCCCCACACACUGUCAAUCUAUGCUGGUUUCUCUUUCCAUAAUUUUCUUAUGCAGAGUAAUAGUUGUACAUUUUGCACUCCUUUUUCUUACUUUGUUUUUCAGCAAGCAUUGGCUGCUAUGCGACUGUGCUGUAAACGUGAGUGUGUGCAAGUGGGACACGAGGGGGGAACAGCUUCAUGCCUCCCUUCUCCAGCAAGCAGGUAACUGUGCAUUGAAGUACGCCGGUAUUCUGCUGUUGUGCUGGGAGUGCCUCCUGCUCCACGUAUGGCAGAAUGAGACCCAUUGCUCACCACCCCACACGGCAUAUCGCUGCAUCGAUCAAACGCUGCUGCAAUAAAAGUCAGGCCCUAUCCAUGUGCCAAUAGGGAGGGAUGUUUCUGAUUAUAAAUUCUCUAUGCAGAGUGCUGGCUAGCUCAUUGAAAAGGCAGAAAUCAAUGACAUUAGCACUCAUAAACCACAUGCAUUGUGACUGCUUCUCAGAACAGCCCUAAUUGGCAUAUGUCUGUCUUAUUGGCCUGCCUCAUAACAAUGCCCCAAAUGAUUCAUGAGACCAAAUAAGAAACAGGUGCAACCAAAACAGCACUCUGUGCCAAAAAUUCAUCUCUUAUGUAAGGAGAGGGGCCAAGGGCAUGGCUCAAACUGCUCCUUAUCGACUCCAGGAUGUGACUUCAACUCCCUGAAAGAAGCAUGUAGUGAAGUGGGGGUUGGACUCUGCCCCAGCAAUAAGAUGAGAGGGGAAUGGCCUCAGACUGUACAGGGAGGGUCAGGUUGGCUGUCAGAGCAAUGUCUGCUCCAGAGAGCAGCCAGGCGCUGGCACAGCUGCCCAGGGGUGGGCAGUCCCUGUCCAUGGAGGUGUUCAGAGCUGCGGGGAUGUGGCACUGAGGGGGGGCCAGUGGGCACAGGUAGGGUGGGGGUCUCAGACAGCUUUUCCAGCCAGAAUGGUUCUGUGAUUCUAAUAAUGAGCUAUACGAGUCAUCCCAAGGGUGAACCUGCUAUCUAGUCACUGAAAUCUAUUGAGUGGGUAUUUGGCUUGCUUUUUUUAGGGUUAAUUAAACCUGCAUGGGGUUGGAUUGAGGGGAAAAAAAGGAAAUCAAGCUGAUUACAGACUUUGUUUCUUAGUAGGAUAACUGAAACACUGGUCUAACUGUUAUUUAUUAUACAAAACGGGCAUCUUGUGAUUUGCUUGAAAUGAAAAAUGGACUUGAAUGGCAUGGCCAUUGGUCAUGGGCCAUGAAGAGGGGAUGAUGGCACUGCGCGGUGAGCCACCACAGCCCUGCACCAUUCCAGCAAGUCACAUAUAAAAGCUUAAACGCUUGCCCCCCACUCUUUGCCAUGUGGUCCAUUAAGUUAGGUGCAGGCAAAGGGCAUAUUUGUCAAAUGCACAUUGUGCUGACUCAGCAUUCUGGUUAUCUGUUGGGCAUUCAAUUUCACUCUGGUGCAAAGCCUUUUUAGUUUCCCUUGGCGAAUAAAUUACAAAUGCUAAUUUCUGCUCAGUUGAAGAGAAGAUUAAGGCAGUGUAACAGACAGGCAUGCCAAAAUAUUUAUUGAAUAAGUUGCAAAAGCGAAACAAAAAGGCUGUGUAUUUCAAACUGAGUGCUGAGCAGGGCUCUAAGCUGAAUUUAAGAGCAGCUCCUUUAUUCACCCAGAAUCCAAUUUAGUGCGAGUAUAUUAUAUCCAGCAUCUGUAUGCUGAAAUCCACUGCUGAAUAAGCUUCUAAAAUUCUAUUUUCUGCAGUUUCAGUGCAUACUUGCACAUAUGUUUCUUAGUAAAUCACAGUAAUGACCCUAAUUCCAUGAGGAGGACCUAAAGCAAAUGCUGCCCCUGGGCUGCUACUCACCCAUCCACAACUGCUCUACGAGGUUAGCACUUGUUUUCUUCUCUAUUUCCAUCCAGACUGCUGUAACUGAAUGGGGAGAACAAUCUGAGAACUGUUAGAGAAGUAUUUGGGAUGUAACAGCUGCAUUAAUACCUAUUUGGGGUCACAGUUGGAGAAACGUGCGGUUCUUUCAGUUCACACAGACGUGGUGGGAUUUCUGUUAGGCAGCCACAGAGAAUUAAAAGCUCACUUUGAAAAGCCCUGGAUGGGGCUGAGUGACAAAUUGAGCUGCUUGUAGAGUCACCUGUAUUUUUAUAUGCGCACAGGAAAGGCAGAUUUUGUUCUGUUUCUGACAAGCAGUUACUGUAGCACCCUUUCAGUUUUGCAGGCAUUAGAGACUUCAGUUUGCUGCACAAAAUAAUGAGUUACGCUGUGUCUGCAUUAAACAACAGAGAUACAUGUCAGCAUUUCCAUGUCAUCCUUCUGUCACAGUAACUGAAUGACAGUACAACAUAUGGGCUCAUUAGGUAACAUCCAACAGGUUAAUAGCCAUCGAUGUGUUGGAUUUCAGUUAUGCGUGUGUAAGUGUUUUUAGAUAUGCCAGCAAAUGAAGCCGGAGGGAAGAAAAUUUCACAAAAGCCAAAAUAAUUUGAGAGAGCAUUUGCAAAAAUGAAGUGCUGAAUUUAACCAUUUCAGUGCAUGUUGAGCUGCAAGCAGUAGGAACAGCCUCAUGCAGUUCUCAUUUUCAAUACGAUCUGCUCAAAGAAGUUCAAGUGGAUAAUAAAUACACUUCAACAAAUAAAGACCUGUCUGAAGAGAGCUUCUGGGACUGUGGGAAUAAAACCCUGAGGGUAACUUCAGUCUGAUCACUGCUAAAAUCCAGACUGUAACUUUGAGGUGAUAAACAAAUGAGACUUAAGGAGCCACAGGCCUUGGGAUUAAGAGUCAGAAUAAGAACAUGAGGUACAUUUACUUCAUUGUACAAUGUAAAUAUCCCAUUUAAAAAUUAACGUUGAUGCACUGACAAUGCAUUGCUAGAUAGGAGAACACAUGCAGCCAUUGUUCUCCCCGCCUCUUUUAUUUUACUUAUACUAACCCCUCGGAGCAGCCGGCUGCUCAGCCGUGACAGCGAUGCUCACAACCUCCUUCCUUCCCAGAAGUCUCCACAGUCUCCAGGAUCUUGCUCCAGUGACAUCCACUGCCAAUGUUUCUCCACUUAGAAUACGUCCUGGCAUCCUUAUGAUUAUCUUCUGCUGUGCUCUGUUCAGUGGAUAAACUGGAGGCAGUUACUGACAUAUAAAACUCUCAGUGGUCAGAGCCACCAAAGCUCUGUAGGUGGAUGUGAGUCUGUGAGACUGGCUUUGUAAACUUGGGUUGUGUGUAAAGGGGAGAUGUUUCUUCAGUGCCUUGCAACACCAAUGAUUGCUAAAACCAACAUGAAGCCCGAACUGCCCCAUGCAGCGUUUGCUCUCAGCCCCUGGAAUUAGUCUUGAAUUCUCAUGAUAGAAGGAUGUGCUCAUAAUUCAGAAAGUAAACAUACACAGCUACCUCUGUGCCUUUAUGGGGAGGGUGACAGAGCACUGGAACAGGUGCCCCAGGGAGGUGGUGGAGUCUCUUUGUAUGGAGAUAUUCAAGACCUGUCUGGACACCUACAUGUAUGACCUAUUAUAGGGUACCUACUCUAGCAGGGGGUUAGACUUGAUCUUUUGAGGUCCCUUCCAACCCCUGUGGUUCUGUGACUGUGUUUCUGUAAUACACACAAGCAACACCUACAGUAUAUGUAGCUUGAUGUACAUAGUCUUAUAUGUAAAUGUUUAUAUAACCACGAUUUAAAGUCUGAUCAUAUAAACUAUUUCCACCAGCUUUCUCUCUUGAUCCUGAUGCAAUGCACUGCAGCAUGCGCUGGCUGUCUGUACCAUACCCUUUGGCCUGAUAUCUGUGGCUACAUACCUAUAGCGGCUAUCAAAGAGGGGGUGGGGGAUCCUGCUUUGCCACAGGGACAUGAUUAAGAUCCCCUUAGCACAUUGACCAUGACAUCUGCAGGUCAUGCACCUGUUGCUGGGGGGACUACCAAUCCUCCAACCUCCAAACAUCUCCCCUAGGUGCAAGUAGGCCACACCACAUUGGUCCUACUUGCACUUUCCAAGGCCAUUCUAUUUUAUGGGUACCAGGUUCUAGGUUUUCAGGGGCAGGGAGCAGAAGAUUAUUUUAAUUGCCAGUUUGGGGUCUUACCUGAUUGUCAGUGCCCAUAAUUUGAAUCCUUAGCAGGGAAGCCCAUGUUGCCUGCAGCAUCUUUAGGGCAUUGGGUCUGCCAUCUCUAGGCCUUUCAUUCAGGUUCUGCAGGGCUUCAUAGAGUCUUUGUCCACCCCUGCAGGGACUGAGAGUCUGUCUUCAGGGCAGUCUUCAGAAUACCAUUAUAGCAUUCAAUAAGGCCUGUCCCCACCAGAUUGUAUGGCAGAUGGAAUCACCACUCAAUGUUGUUUUCUUCUGCCCAGCACUGUACCAUUGCACCAGUGAAAUAAGUCAUCAAGAGUGACCAAGGGACUCAAAGUGUUCCGUAGGCAGCCAUCAUCUUGGUAAGCACCUUAAUGGCAUAUCCCUGGUUUGCUUUGGCACUGGAUAGCCCUGCAAUAGCCCAUUUGCUGUGUUGAUGCAGGUCAGGGCAUAUCUUCCAUAUAUCAGGCAUCUUCAGGAAUGGCCUACAAGCCUGGUCUUUACAACUUCUGUGGGUUUAUAGCCCACCCUUUUUUUUUUGUAGAUAGGUAGCCAGUAAGACUGCUGCCUUUCCUAAUGCCUUCAGUGAGUCUGAUGUCAGCAUGAGAUCAUCAAUAUAGUGGUACAGCUUGAUGUUAUUAGAAUUAUUUCAGUCUGCUAGGUCAUGCGCCACUAAGUUACGACAAUAUGUAGGCAAGUGCACAUACCCUUGCGGCAGGAACCAAGAGGUCCACUGCCUGCCUCCCCACAUAAAUGCAAACUGAUCUUGUAAUUCUUUGUGGAUGGGAAGGGAAUACAUUUGCAAAGUCUAGGACACACUAUUUGGUUUCUAACUCCGCACUCAAUGUAUCCACCAGGGAGGCAAUAUUGGGUACAGCUGCAUGAAUGGGCAGUGUGACCUUAUUCAGUUCUACAUAAUCCACUGUCAUUCUCCAUGUGCUGUCUGACUUCCACACUGGCCAUAUGGGGGAAUUGGAUGGGCUAUAUGCAGGUCUUAUGAUCCCUACUUUUUCUAGCUCCUGAACCAUUCUAAGUAUUUCCUUUUGACCCUCUGGGAAUCUAUACUGUUAAGUAUUAGUAAUCUGGCACAGAAUGGGCAAGGGAAUACGUUCAUGUUUCACAUGGCCUCUUAAUAUUGCCUGCACUGCCUGGAAACUAAUACAUCUCUCUCUCUCUCAGUCUGAGCUCUCCUAUAGUCAUCUGGAGAGCCAGACCGCAUAACAUGUCUGUGCCUGUUAUAUACUUCAGAACUGGGGCAAUAGACACCUCACACUCCUGGUGUGGAAGACACCCAACUUUAACCAUGUCUGGGUUACAGGCACGGUCUAUCCCCCAAACCCACCAAUCACCACCUUGGAUUUGGAAUUUGGUUGGAUCACCAUAAAUAAUUGACAUUUCUGCACCCAUAUCAGCUAAUGCCAUAACUCACCCUAUAUUCUUUUGGGACCCAAACACAGUCAGUUUAACAUAGGGGCCCCCAGGCAGGACUGGAGGCCCCAGGUACAGAGGGGCUAGCAUCCCUUUCAUGCAAGUAGCUGAGAAUCGCCAAUUCCUUUUCCUCAGGUGACUCUGGCAUAGAGGCCUGGGUCACUUCAGGAGGCUUUUUGCUUUUAUUAGAAACUAGGAAAUUUUCCAGGUUCCACGUUCUUGUUGUUGUUUUGGUUAUUUUUUAUUUCCCCCUCCAGUAAUUCUCACCCCAGCUUUUUGGGGAUAUUUUGAAACUUCUGCUUCAGGGUCCCAGUAAUCGUCCAGCACAUGAUUUUUUUUAAGGUAAUCCAUGUAAAUAAGUAUCUGGCUGGCUUACCAAGUGCAGUACUGUAAUGCUAUAAUGUGGUAGAAAGCACAGCAAUAAUGGAGAGUGGCACAAUCCUAGGCUACACCAAACAAGAACAAGCCCAAAUGCAGCAGCCAGCCAGGGAUGCAAAAACAAAGGAAGAAAAGCUGCUUACCUUUAGAAGGCCUCCAGGGAGCAGAGAUCUCAAGCAAGAUGCUUUCACCUCCACUGCCAGCCCUUAAAUGAGGCCUGGGAAGAGGAGGAUCCUGACUCCACCCUUCUGGUCACUCAGCUGCAUUGUAUUGCACUGCAUUGCAUUGCAUUGCAUGCACCUGAGAUCCCCUGGGCUGGCCCUGCCUUCCCACCAGGUGCUCAAUCACUGCUUCAGGCCGUUACUUAGCAUUGCCACUACAGGUCCCUCACAUGGAACAUUCCUUUUACUUCCCAGUUAGAAGCACUUGUUUAGGAUUUUUGCUUUUUCCCGGUGACAAAGUGAGUGAUGCUCAGUAGCCACGUUUACAGAGUGCUCAAAUCCCUACCGACAGACUGCUUUUGUCAUGAAAAGCAAAGUUGUCAUGGUGACAGAGCAGCCUGAUGCCUCACUGCACGGAAGUGCCAGCAGGAGGUGGGAGCGGAGGGGCACAUGGGGUCAAUGAGUGCGGUCCCGCAGUCACCCGACCUUUCACAGCAUUAACAGUGCAUCUCUCGGAUAACGGAGGUAACAGGAUGUGCAUAAGAAAAGUGGAAACUUCUUUCAUUCACUGCUGAUGGGAGAAAAGGAGUCAUCUGCGGAGUUAUUUCAACAGAGAGAUAUGUGACCGGCAUCGAGACGAGAGCCAUGACAUUCUUCUGACAAGUAAUAUCGACAGUAAUUGGCUUCAUCCCUCUUUCAGUGGCUCUGUCGUUAAUGAGAUUUGUGAUCUAAUUUUUCAUAUCUCUGUCAGAUCUGUUGGGAAUAAUUUUUCUAACAAACAUUUAUGGACAUAAUAUGUGCGCAUUCAUCGAAUACGUCCCUUACAAUCCAGCCUUCUCCAGGAAGUAUUUCUAUUCUGACAGAUGAGUUUAAUAAAAAUCUCUCCGAGCUGAGCAUUCUGAAACAUAAGAAUUCAAUAAUAAUAAAAACUUAACCUGCUCCUUCUAAAUACAGAGCGAGCAUCCUCACUUGUAGCUCUCAUAAACCCACUCCAUGUGCGCGUGGUGAUGAUACACCCAUCAUUCCCAUUUUAUAAAGGAGGUGAAGGGGCAAAGCGGGUUGCCAGGUUUGCCUGACAGUUCUCUCUUAUGGUUUACUUACAGCUGCUUGCAGAGCGUGCAGGAGACUGCAUAUAAGCCCAGCAUCAGUCCUGCAGGAGUCAGCAGCCAGGCACAGACUGGCUCCUGGUGCUGUCUGAUGGAGAGUGGCUGCUGGGUGGAAGGAGCUGCUGUUCCCUCCUUUGGACCCAGAGUAACUUUUAAAUCAUUCUGGGAAGAAAGGAAUGGCAUAUUUGGUGUCUCAGAUGUUCCUCGAGCAGUACGACCUGCACAGAAGUGACAUAUAGUGGACACAAAACAGCUCCUCAAUUAGGGAGACGUAGGGGCAGAAUCACAUCUCCCCAGCAGAACUCAAGAAGCCCUUCUUAGCACUACCACUGCGCAACCGAAGGUAUUUGAUCUGAAGUAUGAAGAAUGAUUUAAUCAGACAGAUUAACCUACCUGGUGCAUCUGAAACACUUCCAUUCCAUCGAAGUCCAUCAACAACAUAGGCUUUAAGUGGAGUUUUAAAAAGUUUAUGAGAAGAAUAUGGAAGGAAUAAGGAGAGUGACAAUUCAGCACGUUUUAGCUCACGUGCUUCUGCAGCAGAAGGUACAGCACUGGGAAUGGGGGCACUGCUGUGACUGACCCCACCACAGGACCUGGCCACCCCAGAGCAUAUUUUCAAGGACUAAUUUCAAGUGUACACGUUAUAAAUCUGCAAACUAUCUCUGUGAGCCGUGCAUGCUUUACAUCCCUUCAAUCCCAUUGCCUAAUAUUAGUGAAAGUGACAAGACAUUAACUGCAUAUUAAUUGAAUUUUUCACGGAUGAUUAAAAUACAGAAACUGUGCAACAGAUUUCUCCUUUGAGGUGUAAUAAAAGUGAAGGGGAAAUGAAUAAAUUGCCUAUUUUAGAGAUUUUAUAUAUAGUGCAAAUAGACAUUUUCCUUUUAGACAUCUCACCAGGAAGAAAGCAUUUGUUGCAGGGAGCAAGAUGUACUCCUGUCUGAGUGUGACACUCAGCGUGCAGUGACAUGGGCAGACCCCGGUCCCAGGCAGGAGCACAGCCCAUGGGUUUCCAGGGGGCAGGAGCAGGUACUGAGCACAGGAAUCACUGCUCCCAGCAAUGCAGAGUCACUGAAGUCAGGUAACAUCCUCCGUCCUUAAAAAAGAAGUUGUGGAUGCCCCAUCCCUGCAGGCAUUCAAGGCCAGGCUGGAUGUGGCUCUGGGCAGCCUGGUCUGCUGGUUGGUGACCCUGCACAUAGCAGGGGGUUGGAACUGGAUGAGCAUUGUGGUCCUUUUCAACCCAGGACAUUAUGCGAUUCUACGAUUCUAUGAAAAGAAAAUACCUUCCUUGGGUGACGUGCCAUGAUUAGCCUGAGCAGCAGAGGAGCAAUGCAUUUUGCUGUCUUUAGCUAUUUCUCUAGCGUUAUGCAAUGGGAGAAAUAAAGUUGGAAGCCAUGCGGAGCAGCACUGCUCUGACCCUUUGCAGACUCCGGACGAGCAGAGCAGGACCUGUGAGGACAUUUCUUUUUGUACCCUCACCGCACACAGUUUGCUGUGCUGCAGCUGUCACAGCUCACAUGUUGCAAACCUUCUUAAUGCCAGGAGAGAGCCCGUAGGCGCUGUAGGAGCUGGCUCUGCAUGUGGCCUUGCUCUGUUGCAUCCAUGUUUGCAGAGAGCCAUCCAGCCUGGUGACCCAGCCGUAAUUUGGGCUCCUGGAGCAAAAUCUGUCAAAGGAGGGCAGCUUGAGGUUGGAUGUCAGGGGAAGUUCUUUCCUAUGAGAGUGGUGAGGUGCUGGAACAGCUGCCCAGAGAGGCUGUGGAUGCCCCGUCCAUCCCUGGAGGUGUUCAAGGCCAGGUUGGAUGGGGCCCUGGGCAGCCUGGGCUGGUAUGAAAUGUGGAGGUUGGUGGCCCUGCCUGUGGCGGGGGGGUUGGAGCUUCAUGAUCCUUGAGGUCCCUUCCUACCCAAACCAUUCUGUGAUUCUGUGAUCAGUGUAAAACACAGGAACUGAAGCUAUGUGCCACAAAGCGUUCCCCACACAACAGUGAAAUUUACAGUGAUACGCUGAAAAUGUGCUCUGAAGAUGAAAGUCCUCCAAAACCCAUCACAAAUUGAUAGUAUUUCAUAUUUUUUUUCCCAGAUUAUCAAGUUUGAUAAUAAUAAUAAAUAGAAAAGCAGGCUUAGAUGUGAAGAAACUCGGGCUGAAGCUGAAAUCUCAGAGAACCAAGCGCUGAAGCACCUCCCAAACCCCACUGUUAUUCCCCGGGAUGGGAUGGGAUGUAACUGCACAGUGCUCCCAUGCCCUGCAGCACAAACUGUGGGUUGUAAGCAAUUUACAGCAGAUCAUUGGUGGGAUUUCUUCAGCAUAUUUCUCAGGUCCGUGCUCUGCAGUGUCGUUACUGAUAGUUGGCAGCGCUGCUGGCAGCGUACAAUGUGCAUGUUCCCGAUAAGAGUGCCCAAGUCUUUGUUGCUCUGACUAUAAAAAGGGCAAUUUAUGAGUCACAAGAAAGCGUUUAUAUUUUGCCUUCCGUAUUUGCUGCUAAGAAUCUCAGUAUUAGCUUUGCUUUGCUGGUGGCAAUAAAGAGGAAUUAGGUAGAUGCAAUGAGCAGCAAGAGAUAAACACCACAGGCAGAAAAUUACGGUGUGAGGUAUGCUGGUUACACCCAUUUUUCACCAGUUUUCACAGCAACAAUGAUAAGAAAUUGAUGUCCAAAUAGCACAACACCUUGUUUUACUUACAUGAAGAUGAAGGAGGGUUGCUUCAGCGCUGCACUGGGAUUCCUUAUUGGAUGUGAUGCAGUCGGUGAAUCACAGAAUCAUGGAACGGCUUGGGUUGGAAGGGACCUCAAGGAUCAUCAAGGUGAAAAAAGCCCUUCCAGUUGGGAGGACGCGUUCAGGCUGAUGGUCAAAAG